rnacentral:rRNA from 1 species
UACGUAGGCGCAAGCGUUAUCCGGAAUUAUUGGGCGUAAAGAGCUCGUAGGCGGUUUGUCGCGUCUGCCGUGAAAGUCCGGGGCUCAACUCCGGAUCUGCGGUGGGUACGGGCAGACUAGAGUGAUGUAGGGGAGACUGGAAUUCCUGGUGUAGCGGUGAAAUGCGCAGAUAUCAGGAGGAACACCGAUGGCGAAGGCAGGUCUCUGGGCAUUAACUGACGCUGAGGAGCGAAAGCAUGGGGAGCGAACAGG